GAGAGUAUAGUUCAGUGGUAGAGUGUGUGCUUAGCAUGCACGAGGUCCUGGGUUUAAUCCCCAGUACCUUCA
rnacentral:tRNA from 1 species